rnacentral:rRNA from 1 species
GCGGCGAACGGGUGAGUAACGCGUGAGCAAUCUACCUUAGUUACUGGGAUAGCCCGAGGAAACUCGGAUUAAUACCGGAUAUUCUUAUUUUUUCACAUGAAGUUUUAAGGAAAGGUCAGCCGAACUAAGAUGAGCUCGCGUUCUAUCAGCUAGUUGGUGGGGUAAAAGCCUACCAAGGCUACGACGGAUAGCUGGUCUGAGAGGACGAUCAGCCACACUGGGACUGAGACACGGCCCAGACUCCUACGGGAGGCUGCAGCAGGGAAUAUUGCGCAAUGAGCGAAAGCUUGACGCAGCGACACCGCGUGUGGGAUGACGGUUCUAGGAUUGUAAACCACUUUCAGGAGGGAAGAAAAUGACGGUACCUCCACAAGAAGACCCGGCCAA